UGUAGCAGCUAGAAGUAACCACAGAGACGCGGAAACCUCCCAGGUUCCUAGAGGGGACCUGGAAAUAAGGCCAGUGAAAGUAAACCAUCUGUCUCUCUAUUCGACCCCAGAGGCUUACGUGUUGGCGGUCUUGUUUUCCUGGCAGCUGGCCUCCGCGAUCUCCUGAACAAACGCCGUGAAUCUCGUGCCCAAGCAAGACUGCCUAGACCUUCCAGGCAGACAGAGAAGGACCAGGCUUCGCAGCCUCUGACCUGACAAAGGCAGGACUUUGGUAAAUAUCCAGACACCGAAGUCUGGACUAGAGCUGGCCCCAGUGGCGCAUAUUCUUGCCCAGAAGCAGCAGCUUGCAAAAAAUCAGGAGGUGUCAGCGGGCAAGGAUGAAGGCAAAUGGACAAGGUGGAGAGAGAGUACAAUCUCAGGUAGCAGAAUUGUAAACAAAUGCAGGUCUGAGAAAUAGCCUGCUGACCUUUGCUAAAGUGUAAAGCAAUAGCAGGUAAGUCUGGAGAGAAAGAGCUUUAUAGAUCUUGUAGGAGACUUAAAGGUGCAUCUUGUAGUCUAAUGUCAUCCAAUAGAACUUUGCAUAAUGGUGGAAAUGUCCUACAUCUGUGUUGUCCACCAUGGUAGUCACUGGCUACCUGUGGCUGUUGAACACUUGAAAUGUGCCUAGUACUGUUGAGUCUAUUUUACUGAAUGUUGAUUAAUUUUAUUAGCUCCAUUCACCACAUGUGGGGAACUUCUGGAAACAUUUUUUAAAAGCAAGUGACUUCUCUAAAAUAUAAGUUAUGAAAGGGAGGCUCUGUGACUUGGCUGGCAUGCUCCAUCAACUCUACCCUCCACUCCUUUUCUCUUCUCUCUUCCUAUCUGGAAUUCAGACGAGACUCCCGGAGGAACGGCAGCUAUUCUCAACCUGUGGUAAUGAAAGCCACUGAGCAAAGACAAUUGAGCAAAGAAGACAGAGGAGCCUGGGAACUUCAUGGCAUUCUUGACCAGUGGUGCUAGCCCUGGAUGAUUGACCUCAGGGCCUCUUGUUACAUGACAUAUGCUAACUCCUUUCUGUUUAACCCACUGCAGUAGAAUUUUAUUUUGCAGUGAAUCAAACUCUAACUGAUGAUAUUGGCUAAUGUGUGUUAGUACUUGCUUUGGGCCAGUGGACUUCUAAGAAUUUUUAUAUACUAACUUUAUUUUUUAAGCACAACUAUAUUUUAAAAAUUUACUUAUUCUUUAAUUGAAGGAUAAUUGCUUUAUGUAGUAAUAUUUUUAAUCCACACAGUGAAUGAAUUUAUGAGAUAGAUGAAAGAAGCAAGCAGCAUUAAUGUCACCUGGAAAUUUGUUAGCAAUGCAGGUUUGGGGGCCUGACCCCAGAGCUCCUUAGGCGGAAUCUCUGGGAACAGGGCCCACAGUCUGUGUUUUAACAAACCCUCCAGGUGAUUCUAGUGUCUACUGAAGUUUGACAACUUUAUAGAUAGGGCAUUUUUACUGUCCCCAUUUUACAGGUAAGUAGACUGAGCUGAAUUUAAGUCAUUUGCUCAAUGUCACACAACUAGUAAGACUAACUCCUAAGUUUGUGUUUGUAGCCACUGUGUGACAUCACAUGUUAAGAAUUCCUGCUCUAGAGUAGUAGCCUUCAAAAUCUGAAAGCAUACCCCUUUGAAAAAUUAUGUACCCCUUGUAUGUACAUUUUUAGAUCAGCAUCUAAAAAUUUCAAAUCAUAAGUUCAAACAGUUGUAAAGAAUGUGAUUUCCAGUACAUUGUAAUUUGUGGCAUUUUUUAAAUGUGUUCCAUCACUCUUCUAAAUGUAUCUAAAUACUGUAAUGAAUAUUUGGUUAAUGGACUAUCAUCUAUUUAAAAAAAAUAGAUUUUCUUUAACAUUUGACAUUUUA